rnacentral:misc_RNA from 1 species
UACAGAGGCCCCGAGCAUUACCCGGAAUUAUUGGGCGUAAAGGGUGUGUAGGUGGUCAUAUUAGUCGCCUGUUAAAUCCCAGGGCUUAACUCUGGAAUCGCGGGCGAGACGGUAUGACUAGAGAGCGUAAGGGGUGAAUGGAACUCAUGGUGUAGGGGUGAAAUCCGUUGAUAUCAUGGGGAACACCGAAAGCGAAAGCAAUUCACUGGUACGUUUCUGACACUGAAACACGAAAGCGUGGGUAGCGAACGGG